AGAAGAGGAAGACAUGACUCGAUAGGGAUCCAUAGAUAUUUUUAGAGAAAGAAAGUGGGUGAAAAGAGAGAAAAUAGAGAGAAAAAAUGGAGAGAGAAUCUUCAUAUUCCUCAAAAGAAGAAUCUAUGAUCAAAAUUAUCAAAGAUCAUAUCAUGGUGACUCCAUAGGGGUUAACGGUGAUCAAACUCUAUGAAUUUCUGGCAA
rnacentral:lncRNA from 1 species